UCAAACUUGGUCAUUUAGAGGAAGUAAAAGUCGUAACAAGGUUUCCGUAGGUGAACCUGCGGAAGGAUCAUUACCGAGUUAGGGUCCUCUGGGCCCGACCUCCCAACCCUUUGUUUACUAAACCUUUUGUUGCUUCGGCGGGCCCGUCUUCGUGACCGCCGGAGGACCGCCGAGAGGCGUCCUCUGGCCCGCGCCCGCCGGUGGCCAACCUUCUAAACUCUUGAACAAAUCGUGUCUUGUCUGAGUUUUUAUCAAAAAAUAAAGCAAAACUUUCAACAACGGAUCUCUUGGUUCUGGCAUCGAUGAAGAACGCAGC
rnacentral:misc_RNA from 1 species